rnacentral:rRNA from 1 species
UACGGGGGGGGCAAGCGUUGUUCGGAAUUACUGGGCGUAAAGGGCUCGUAGGCGGCCAACUAAGUCGGACGUGAAAUCCCUCGGCUUAACCGGGGAACUGCGUCCGAUACUGGAUGGCUUGAGUUCGGGAGAGGGAUGCGGAAUUCCAGGUGUAGCGGUGAAAUGCGUAGAUAUCUGGAGGAACACCGGUGGCAAAGGCGGCAUCCUGGACCGACACUGACGCUGAGGAGCGAAAGCCAGGGGAGCAAACGGG